GUGCCAGCCGCCGCGGUAAUACCGGCAGUUCGAGUGAUGGCCGAUCUUAUUGGGCCUAAAGCGUUCGUAGCUGGCCAGUCAAGUCUGUCGGGAAACCUGCCCGCUCAACGGGCAGUCGUCCGGCGGAAACUGAUUGGCUUGGGACCGGGAGACUCGAGAAGUACGUCCGGGGUAGGAGUGAAAUCCUGUAAUCCUGGACGGACUACCGAUGGCGAAAGCAUCUCGAGAGAACGGAUCCGACAGUGAGGGACGAAAGCUGGGGUCUCGAACCGGAUUAGAAACCCGGGUAGUCC
rnacentral:rRNA from 1 species